rnacentral:rRNA from 1 species
GGGUUGUGAGGUUAAGCGACUAAGCGUACACGGUGGAUGCCCUGGCAGUCAGAGGCGAUGAAGGACGUGCUAAUCUGCGAAAAGCGUCGGUAAGGUGAUAUGAACCGUUAUAACCGGCGAUGUCCGAAUGGGGAAACCCAGUGUGAUUCGUCACACUAUCGUUAACUGAAUACAUAGGUUAACGAGGCGAACCGGGGGAACUGAAACAUCUAAGUACCCCGAGGAAAAGAAAUCAACCGAGAUUCCCCCAGUAGCGGCGAGCGAACGGGGAGCAGCCCAGAGUCUGAAUCAGCUUGUGUGUUAGUGGAACGGUCUGGAAAGUCCGACGGUACAGGGUGAUAGUCCCGUACACCAAAAUGCACAGGUUGUGAACUCGAAGAGUAGGGCGGGACACGUGGUAUCCUGUCUGAAUAUGGGGGGACCAUCCUCCAAGGCUAAAUACUCCUGACUGACCGAUAGUGAACCAGUACCGUGAGGGAAAGGCGAAAAGAACCCCGGCGAGGGGAGUGAAAAAGAACCUGAAACCGUGUACGUACAAGCAGUGGGAGCACCUUUAUGGUGUGACUGCGUACCUUUUGUAUAAUGGGUCAGCGACUUAUAUUCUGUAGCAAGGUUAACCGUAUAGGGGAGCCGCAGGGAAACCGAGUCUUAACUGGGCGUUAAGUUGCAGGGUAUAGACCCGAAACCCGGUGAUCUAGCCAUGGGCAGGUUGAAGGUUGGGUAACACUAACUGGAGGACCGAACCGACUAAUGUUGAAAAAUUAGCGGAUGACUUGUGGCUGGGGGUGAAAGGCCAAUCAAACCGGGAGAUAGCUGGUUCUCCCCGAAAGCUAUUUAGGUAGCGCCUCGUGAACUCAUCUUCGGGGGUAGAGCACUGUUUCGGCUAGGGGGUCAUCCCGACUUACCAACCCGAUGCAAACUACGAAUACCGAAGAAUGUUAUCACGGGAGACACACGGCGGGUGCUAACGUCCGUCGUGAAGAGGGAAACAACCCAGACCGCCAGCUAAGGUCCCAAAGUCAUGGUUAAGUGGGAAACGAUGUGGGAAGGCACAGACAGCCAGGAUGUUGGCUUAGAAGCAGCCAUCAUUUAAAGAAAGCGUAAUAGCUCACUGGUCGAGUCGGCCUGCGCGGAAGAUGUAACGGGGCUAAACCAUGCACCGAAGCUGCGGCAGCGACACUAUGUGUUGUUGGGUAGGGGAGCGUUCUGUAAGCCUGCGAAGGUGACCUGUGAGGGUUGCUGGAGGUAUCAGAAGUGCGAAUGCUGACAUAAGUAACGAUAAAGCGGGUGAAAAGCCCGCUCGCCGGAAGACCAAGGGUUCCUGUCCAACGUUAAUCGGGGCAGGGUGAGUCGACCCCUAAGGCGAGGCCGAAAGGCGUAGUCGAUGGGAAACAGGUUAAUAUUCCUGUACUUGGUGUUACUGCGAAGGGGGGACGGAGAAGGCUAUGUUAGCCGGGCGACGGUUGUCCCGGUUUAAGCAUGUAGGCUGAUUAUCCAGGCAAAUCCGGAUAAUCAAGGCUGAGGUGUGAUGACGAGGCACUACGGUGCUGAAGUAACAAAUGCCCUGCUUCCAGGAAAAGCCUCUAAGCAUCAGGUAACAUCAAAUCGUACCCCAAACCGACACAGGUGGUCAGGUAGAGAAUACCAAGGCGCUUGAGAGAACUCGGGUGAAGGAACUAGGCAAAAUGGUGCCGUAACUUCGGGAGAAGGCACGCUGGUGUGUAGGUGAAGUCCCUGCGGAUGGAGCUGAGACCAGUCGAAGAUACCAGCUGGCUGCAACUGUUUAUUAAAAACACAGCACUGUGCAAACACGAAAGUGGACGUAUACGGUGUGACGCCUGCCCGGUGCCGGAAGGUUAAUUGAUGGGGUUAUCCGUAAGGAGAAGCUCUUGAUCGAAGCCCCGGUAAACGGCGGCCGUAACUAUAACGGUCCUAAGGUAGCGAAAUUCCUUGUCGGGUAAGUUCCGACCUGCACGAAUGGCGUAAUGAUGGCCAGGCUGUCUCCACCCGAGACUCAGUGAAAUUGAACUCGCUGUGAAGAUGCAGUGUACCCGCGGCAAGACGGAAAGACCCCGUGAACCUUUACUAUAGCUUGACACUGAACAUUGAGCCUUGAUGUGUAGGAUAGGUGGGAGGCUUUGAAGCGUGGACGCCAGUCUGCGUGGAGCCAACCUUGAAAUACCACCCUUUAAUGUUUGAUGUUCUAACGUUGGCCCCUAAUCGGGGUUGCGGACAGUGUCUGGUGGGUAGUUUGACUGGGGCGGUCUCCUCCCAAAGCGUAACGGAGGAGCACGAAGGUUAGCUAAUCCUGGUCGGACAUCAGGAGGUUAGUGCAAUGGCAUAAGCUAGCUUGACUGCGAGCGUGACGGCGCGAGCAGGUGCGAAAGCAGGUCAUAGUGAUCCGGUGGUUCUGAAUGGAAGGGCCAUCGCUCAACGGAUAAAAGGUACUCCGGGGAUAACAGGCUGAUACCGCCCAAGAGUUCAUAUCGACGGCGGUGUUUGGCACCUCGAUGUCGGCUCAUCACAUCCUGGGGCUGAAGUAGGUCCCAAGGGUAUGGCUGUUCGCCAUUUAAAGUGGUACGCGAGCUGGGUUUAGAACGUCGUGAGACAGUUCGGUCCCUAUCUGCCGUGGGCGCUGGAGAAUUGAGGGGGGCUGCUCCUAGUACGAGAGGACCGGAGUGGACGCAUCACUGGUGUUCGGGUUGUCAUGCCAAUGGCACUGCCCGGUAGCUAAAUGCGGAAGAGAUAAGUGCUGAAAGCAUCUAAGCACGAAACUUGCCCCGAGAUGAGUUCUCCCUGAGACUUUAAGUCUCCUGAAGGAACGUUAAAGACGAUGACGUUGAUAGGCCGGGUGUGUAAGCGCAGCGAUGCGUUGAGCUAACCGGUACUAAUGAACCGUGAGGCUUAACCUUACAACGCCGAAG